UACGUAGGCAGCAAGCGUUGUUCGGAGUUACUGGGCGUAAAGGGUGUGUAGGCGGUUCUUUAAGUUUGGUGUGAAAUCUCCCGGCUCAACUGGGAGGGUGCGCCGAAUACUGAGGGACUAGAGUACGGGAGAGGAAAGUGGAAUUCCUGGUGUAGCGGUGAAAUGCGUAGAUAUCAGGAGGAACACCGGUGGUGUAGACGGCUUUCUGGACCAUAACUGACGCUGAGGCACGAAAGCGUGGGUAGCAAACAGG
rnacentral:rRNA from 1 species